ACUCCUACGGGAGGCAGCAGUGGGGAAUAUUGCACAAUGGGCGCAAGCCUGAUGCAGCCAUGCCGCGUGAGUGAAGAAGGUUUUCGGAUCGUAAAACUCUGUCCUAAGGGAAGAAAAAAAUGACGGUACCUUAGGAGGAAGCCCCGGCUAACUACGUGCCAGCAGCCGCGGUAAUACGUAGGGGGCAAGCGUUAUCCGGAAUCACUGGGGCGUAAAGGGUGCGUAGGCGGCUUAGCAAGCCAGGGGUGAAAGGCAUUGGCUCAACCAAUGUAAGCCUUUGGAACUGUUAAGCUUGAGUGCAGGAGAGGUAAGUGGAAUUCCUAGUGUAGAGGUGAAAUUCGUAGAUAUUAGGAGGAACACCAGUGGCGAAGGCGACUUACUGGACUGUAACUGACGCUGAUGCACGAAAGCGUGGGUAGCGAACAGGAUUAGAUACCCUGGUAGGUCAGUC
rnacentral:rRNA from 1 species